GUACUGCUGACGAGUCCCACAAUAGGACGAAACGGCCGUCCAGUGC
rnacentral:hammerhead_ribozyme from 1 species